rnacentral:misc_RNA from 1 species
UCCCCGUUACCGGGGCAGUCUAGCUAGAGAAAUUCAACUAACUAUAAGGGUUGCGCUCGUUAAUGGACUUAACCAAACAUCUCACGACACGAGCUGACGACGGCCAUGCAUCACCUGUCACUACGGCCCGAAGGCACAGUUUCCUUUCGGAAACCUUGGUAGGAUGUCAAACCUGGGUAAGGUUCUUCGCUUAUCGUCGAAUUAAACAACACGCUCCACCGCUUGUGCGGGUCCCCGUCAAUUCCUUUAUGUUUUAAGCUUGCGCUCGUACUCCACAGGCGGGAUGCUUAACGCGUUAGCUUCGCUACUAGAAGGGUCGAUACUCCUAACAGCUAGCAUCCAUAGUUUACGGCGUGGACUAC